CUGGGUCGGGGUUUCGUACGUAGCAGAGC
rnacentral:piRNA from 6 species